rnacentral:rRNA from 1 species
GAUGAACGCUAGCUACAGGCUUAACACAUGCAAGUCGCGGGGCAGCAUGACGAUAGCUUGCUAUUGUUGAUGGCGACCGGCGCACGGGUGAGUAACGCGUAUCCAACCUGUCCCUUACCACGGGAUAGCCCGGCGAAAGUCGGAUUAAUACCGUAUGAUUUCCGAAGAAGACAUCUGAUUUGGAACAAAGGCAUUGGCGGUGAGGGUUGGGGAUGCGUCCGAUUAGCUGGUUGGCGGGGUAACGGCCCACCAAGGCGACGAUCGGUAGGGGUUCUGAGAGGAAGGUCCCCCACACUGGAACUGAGACACGGUCCAGACUCCUACGGGAGGCAGCAGUGAGGAAUAUUGGUCAAUGGGCGAAGGCCUGAACCAGCCAAGUAGCGUGCAGGAAGACGGCCCUAUGGGUUGUAAACUGCUUUUAUGCGGGGAUAACGUGUGCCACGUGUGGCAUAUUGCAGGUACCGCAUGAAUAAGGACCGGCUAAUUCCGUGCCAGCAGCCGCGGUAAUACGGAAGGUCCGGGCGUUAUCCGGAUUUAUUGGGUUUAAAGGGAGCGCAGGCCGGCGAUUAAGCGUGCUGUGAAAUGUAGGCGCCCAACGUCUGAAUUGCAGCGCGAACUGGUUGUCUUGAGUACGCUGGAAGUGGGCGGAAUUUGUGGUGUAGCGGUGAAAUGCUUAGAUAUCACGAAGAACUCCGAUUGCGAAGGCAGCCCACUGUUGCGUCACUGACGCUGAGGCUCGAAAGUGCGGGUAUCGAACAGGAUUAGAUACCCUGGUAGUCCGCACGGUAAACGAUGGAUGCCCGCUGUUUGCCCGUUUUGUGGGUGAGCGGCCAAGCGAAAGCAUUAAGCAUCCCACCUGGGGAGUACGCCGGCAACGGUGAAACUCAAAGGAAUUGACGGGGGCCCGCACAAGCGGAGGAACAUGUGGUUUAAUUCGAUGAUACGCGAGGAACCUUACCCGGGCUUGAAUUGCAGCGGAAGGAAGCAGAGAUGCUGACGCCCCUCGGGGCCGCUGUGAAGGUGCUGCAUGGUUGUCGUCAGCUCGUGCCGUGAGGUGUCGGCUUAAGUGCCAUAACGAGCGCAACCCCUCUCUUCAGUUGCCAUCGGGUCGAGCCGGGCACUCUGGAGACACUGCCGCCGCAAGGCGUGAGGAAGGUGGGGACGACGUCAAAUCAGCACGGCCCUUACGUCCGGGGCUACACACGUGUUACAAUGGGUGGUACAGAGAGGUGGGCUUCCGCAAGGCAGCCCGAAUCAAGAAAUCCAUCCUCAGUUCGGAUUGGGGUCUGCAACCCGACCCCAUGAAGCUGGAUUCGCUAGUAAUCGCGCAUCAGCCAUGGCGCGGUGAAUACGUUCCCGGGCCU